rnacentral:rRNA from 1 species
UACGGAGGGUGCAAGCGUUAUCCGGAUUCACUGGGUUUAAAGGGUGCGUAGGUGGGCAGUUAAGUCAGUGGUGAAAUCUCCGGGCUUAACCCGGAAACUGCCAUUGAUACUAUCUGUCUUGAAUAUCGUGGAGGUAAGCGGAAUACGUCAUGUAGCGGUGAUAUGCUUAGAUAUGACAUAAACACCAAUUGCGAAGGCAGCUUACUACCCGAAUAUUGACACUGAGGCACGAAAGCGUGGGGAUCAAACAGG